UGGCUAAACCUAUAAAAUUUACCU
rnacentral:siRNA from 1 species